AUUAUUUAAUUAAUUAAUUUAUUUAUUUAUGGCGGCAUCCUCAGCAUAUGGAGUUCUCAGGCCAGGCAUUGGCCUACAGCACAGAUUCAGAAUGCUGGGUCCUUAACCCAUUGUGCCAGGCUGGUGAUCAAACCCACACCCUUGAAGUGGCCCAAGCCACUGCAGAGACAAUGCUGAUUCUGCUGUACCACAGGGGGAACUUCCUAAACUGUACACUUUAAAAUGGUUAAUUGUAUGUUAUGUGAAUUUCAUAUCAGUUAAACACAAGAAAAGGAGUUUGGUUUCCCAAGGGCCAGAUGAGGAUCCUACAGGGAACCCCAGAGGCCUGGGCAGAGAGCCAGUGGUGUGCCAGGGUAGCCAACCAUUCUGGCUUAUCCUCCAUCUCUUCUGGUCACAUAACCCUGGUAUUCUCUUUUGGGGAUCCUCUCCCAAUUUCAGUCCAUGUUCUCAUGUGAGAGGGGGUGAUUCUGCCCUGUUUCCAUAGCAGGCUAAUGAGAACCAGCUUUGGGGCAUUCUCUGUGAUUAUUUGGAAAGAGGUGCCAUCUUCCUGCAAGGGUUGCUGGAAUGUCAACCCAGAGUUUCUGGGUGCCUCUGCUCAGAGGGAGUUCACCAGAGAGUGAGAGCAACACAAAAGAGCUGAGAAAUGGAGGGAAAGAUUCAUGAUAGUGCUAGACUCCUGGAUCCACCUGUGCCUGAAGCCAUCCAACAUGCCUUUAAACGUCCAUCCUUUCUCUUAAGCCGACUUUUGUUCUUUAUCACUUGAAAGGAAAAGUAUUCUGCAUCAUGAGCUGAAGUGCAUUAAGCAGAAGGAACAAUGAGGCAGAGCUUCAGAAAUUGCUGGAUCCAGGACCUGCAGCGCCAAGGCCUCUACACCCACCUCUGCUCAUCUUUUUGGGCUGGUAUAUUCUUCUGCCUCAAGAUUUCUCUCUCUCUGUAAUUUUCAGGGCACCCUCUAUGUCCCACAUGUUAAGGGUCCAUCAAGGACAGAGGUUUAUUCGGGUCCUCUCUGCCCCACCCCCCACCCCCGUGGCCAGGGGCAGGUGAGAACCUGCAGCCCCUGAAACUGCAGUCUUGGAGGGUGCCCAGGUGCUGAUUCCAAAAGGACUGGAACGCGACGAAAUGGGCAGACAAACCCAGAGUCCAGUCCUCAUACCCAAGCCUGCAUUCGACGCUGGUGGUCCCAAAGGCGGUGACUGAAGAAGGCGAGCUUGGGGCGGCGGGAAGCAGGGUGAGGAGGAGCCGCCUGUCCGGGUCCCAGCAGCUAACAGGUGUCCUGAAGUGCUGACAAUGCGAGGAGCCAGGCCUCCCUCUGCCGCCGGAGUGAGGAAUCACUCCCAAACGAAACGUGCAAACAAUUUACAACAGGGUCUCUUAGCAACAAACAACUCAGCGCGAGCAAACCCACGCUCGGAGGCUCGGGGUAGCACUGCUAUCUGGCCAAGGUCCCGCUGACAGCAAGUCCAGUGAGAACGCCUAAAUCCUCCAAAAGGGAGUUCAAAACGCCUCCUUUCCCCUCUGCGACACUCUUCCUCGUAUGGCCUCGGUUUAACUGUUAAUAAAGUUCUGGCAUGUAGUAAGGACACAAACUCACCGGACAAAUGUCGCGGGCCACGCUUAGUUGCUGGAGGCUGCUCAGCAGGAGUCACUCUGACCUGCGGAGCGGAGGGGCAGGGCCGGCGUCCUCGGGUCCCGCGGCGAGAAAGCCCCGCCCCCAGGCCCGCCCACUCCAGUGUGCGAUCUUCAGACCCUCCCCGGAAGCGACUGCAAAUGUCUUCCAAGUCUGAGCGCCCUGCAGCGGUGGGCUCCGGGUCUCGCGCAGUCAGCCCGCCCAGACGGGGCGGGGCUUCCUUGAGGGCCUGCGCGCAGCGGCGGUCGCGCCUGCGCAGUGCGUCCGAGCCGAGGGGGCCGGGGUCACCCUGAGCUAAGACUGCGCCGCAAUGCUGAGCAGGUUCCUGGGUCCGCGCUACCGCGAGCUGGCCAGAAACUGAUGGGGGAAACAGAGGCACGGAGCGGCGGCGCGGUGUGUUCUGAGCACACGUGCGUGGAGGGCCCCCGACCCCCUCUCCCUGGGGACCGUAAUGCUGCCCACCCAGUCCGCGCCCAGCACCCCCGGUUCAGCUCUUGGGGCCUGGAAACUGACCAUAUACGCUCCUAACUUUGCUUUUGUUUGACGUUAUGAAGCCGACAGCUGCACUUGUCAGAGGCGGGUAGUGUUGGGGUGACCCCACGUGGCAGCUAGGAUGGGCGUGCCCACGACGUGGGGCGCUAGGAAACCGGCUUAUACUCGGCAGUCGUGUCCCCGGCAAGGAGUUAGGGGUGGGGGCUGGCCCUGGAUGGUGGAUCUGGCAGGCAUCUUCGGGUGGGCUUUACAAACGAAAAAGCCGUCCCUGGCGUCGAGUGGGACCUCCGGCAGCACCCGCAGCCCCUCCCGCAGGCGGCCCAGGCCCCCGGAACUGUCCAUUCCUAUCUGCCUGUGGUCAGAGCCGCGACACCUCUUCCAGAGUUUCUUUCCGUCGGCAGCCGGCAGCAUUCUUGAGUGUAUUCGCUUCUAGUCAGAGACACAGCUAUAAACGGAACCUUCGUGUCUGACGUUCUAGUCCAUGAACAAGAAAAAAUAAACCGAUGUGACCCACGGCCUGAGGCUGAUGUAAAAUGUUAAAGGGGGUGUAGUGCAACCCUGUCCCCCCCCUGCUGGCUUCCAGAGGCCAAGAAGCGGGAUCCAGCCCCAGGAACCGUGGGGGUUGUGUCCCAGACUUUGUGCUCAGCAACUGAGGACCUCUGGACCCCACGUCUUCAUGCGAGGAGGGGAAGGACAGGUCGUGAGGGUGUAAGGAAGUCCCACGAGGGGCUGUCAGCAUCAUCACCACCUCUCCAUCUUUUGGUUCCUCUUAGAAGUCAGGUUCGUGGCCACUCCCUCCCUGUGCGUGGCAGGAAUGAGAAGGGGUGGUGGCCUCCCUGAGGGAAGGCUUCUCUGACAUUAAAUCUCAGAGCUGUUGGGCUGUGGGAGGAGAUUCCCCUUCUGUUCAGGACACCUGCCCCGUAGUCUGUUCCAAAGGCAGCGGUAACUUGUGACCUCUCCCAGGCUCAAAGCUGAGUAUUAUGGGCCUCAACCCCAAGAGCAGGGGUUGCUGCAGGUGGCUCGGGACUGUUGAUCCCUCCACUCUCCACCCCAACACCCCCAAGCACAUGGCUUAGGAUGAUCCAGUGAGGUGGUCACCCAUGUACAAAUUCUGGUCCUGCACAGGCCAGCGAUGGAACCUGUAAGACUUCUCUAUUGCUGUGUAACAAACAGCCCACCAAAUCCGGCAGCUUUACAAACACUGAUUAUCAGUUUCUGUGGGUCAGGUAUUCAGACACACCUGAGCCAGGUCCUCUGCUCAGGGUCUCAUCUGAAGCCUUGCCUGGGGAUCGCUUUCUAAGCUCACACAUGUGUUGUGACCACAUGGGCCCCUCUACAGGGCAGCUCACAAAGGGCCAGGAGCUCCCCCUAAAGGGAGUAAGAGGAGGCAGCAGACCUGGUUGGAGCCACAGUCUGUAACACAGGUAUGGCCCACCCUCUGAGUUUUACUCGUUAGAGAUGAGGGACAGGGUCUUACUCACACCCAAGGGGAAGGGCUGUACAAGGAAGGGUGUGAACAGUAGGAGGUGGGACUGUUGGCCCCAUCCUGGAUCCUGCCGGACAUAAA
ensembl:lncRNA